GAUGAAGAACGUAGCGAAAUGCGAUAAGUAAUGUGAAUUGCAGAAUUCAGUGAAUCAUCGAAUCUUUGAACGCACAUUGCGCCCGCUAGUAUUCUGGCGGGCAUGCCUGUCCGAGCGUCAUUUCAACCCUCAAGCCCCCGGGCUUGGUGUUGGGGAUCGGCGAGCCUCCGCGCCCGCCGUCCCCUAAAUCUAGUGGCGGUCUCGCUGUAGCUUCCUCUGCGUAGUAGCACACCUCGCACUGGGAAACAGCGCGGCCACGCCGUUAAACCCCCAACUUCUGAACGUUUGACCUCAGAUCAGGUAGGAAUACCCGCUGAACUUAAGCAUAUCAAUAAGCGGAGGA
rnacentral:misc_RNA from 1 species